GAUGAACGCUGGCGGCGUGCUUAACACAUGCAAGUCGAACGAUGAAGCCCAGCUUGCUGGGUGGACUAGUGGCGAACGGGUGAGUAACACGUGAGUAACCUGCCCUUGACUCUGGGAUAAGCCCGGGAAACUGGGUCUAAUACCGGAUAGGAGCGCCUGUCGCAUGACGGGUGUUGGAAAGAUUUUUCGGUGAUGGAUGGACUCGCGGCCUAUCAGCUUGUUGGUGAGGUAAUGGCUCACCAAGGCGACGACGGGUAGCCGGCCUGAGAGGGUGACCGGCCACACUGGGACUGAGACACGGCCCAGACUCCUACGGGAGGCAGCAGUGGGGAAUAUUGCACAAUGGGCGGAAGCCUGAUGCAGCGACGCCGCGUGAGGGAUGACGGCCUUCGGGUUGUAAACCUCUUUCAGUAGGGAAGAAGCGAAAGUGACGGUACCUGCAGAAGAAGCACCGGCUAACUACGUG
rnacentral:rRNA from 1 species